UACAGAGGGUGCAAGCGUUGUUCGGAAUUAUUGGGCGUAAAGGGCGCGUAGGCGGUGCGGUAAGUCUGUAGUGAAAUCUCUGGGCUCAACUCAGAGUCUGCUGCAGAAACUGCCGUGCUUGAGUGUGGGAGAGGUGAGUGGAAUUCCCGGUGUAGCGGUGAAAUGCGUAGAUAUUGGGAAGAACACCGGUGGCGAAGGCGGCCAACUGGACCACAACUGACGCUGAGGCGCGAAAGCGUGGGGAGCAAACAGG
rnacentral:rRNA from 1 species